CCCUUAGAUGUUCUGGGCCGCACGCGUGCUACACUGAGUAAUUCAAUGGGUAAGGGAACGCUAGAGCAUUACCUAAUCUUGAAAUUUGCUCGUGAUGGGGAUCGACGGUGGCAAUUUUCCGUCGUGAACGAGGAAUACCUUGUAGGCGCAUGUCAUCAUCAUGCGCCGAAUACGUCCCUGCCCUUUGUACACACCGCCCGUCGCUCCUACCGAUUGAGUGAUCCGGUGAGGCUCUGGGACCUGGACGGAAAGAGCGUUUCGCUUGUUCUGUUUGGGAAACUUGGUCGAACCUUAUCAUUUAGAGGAAGGAGAAGUCGUAACA
rnacentral:rRNA from 1 species